CCACUCCACCUUCUUCCACCCUCUUUGCCUAGUUCUCCACCACCCUCCAACCAUCAAACACUCCUCCACACUCACCCUAAACCCUUCCAUACCAUUCCCCAUCCAUUCUACAUCAUAAAACUACCCAAAAUCUGUCCAUAACCCAAUCUGCCGCAAGCAUAAGGAAAGGAGGAAUCUUGGAUGCACUUGCUACCAAGUUGGAGCAUUUUAGGAACUAAACCCCUCUUAGUUAGGGGGUGAUUCGAAACUAUGUUCAUACUUGCAAUAUGAUUUGAUUACAUCCAGUUGUGAUUCAUAAGUUGUGAAUUCAAUUUACUUAUCCGUUCAUAUAAAAUCUAAUUUGUGUAUGUUGGUUAAGAGUGCACGCUUAAUUUUCAUGCAUGAAUUUGACGCUAGAAUAUAAGGGAGUUUCACCUAAUCGUUAUAAACUUAUAUUCACAAGUAGUGAAGGUUGCUAGUCACAAUCACGUUAAGUAAACUCUUGGCAUAAGUUUCAUGCAAAUCAUAGUAACGAGUGCCUCGUCAAUGCUUAUGUUUUUCAUAGAACUUAAUGAUUCUUGCUUGUAUCUCUAUUAUGCAAUUCAUGUAGGGAACUUGUAGGGAAUGUUUUGGGUUGUCGUAUGCAAUCAU
rnacentral:sRNA from 1 species